GAUGAACGCUGGCGGCGUGCCUAAUACAUGCAAGUCGAGCGAACAGACCUGUAUCUUGCUCUUCUGACGUUAGCGACGGACGGGUGAGUAGCACGUAGCUAACCUUCCUCUAUGGCUUAGCUUCCUGCGAGUAACCCGAGCUACUACCGGGUAAUAUAUUUGACUGCAUGGUUCUAUAAAGAUUCAGCGGUUUGCUAUCACUUAUCGAUUGAUCCGCUCCGCAUUAGCUAGUUGGUAAGGUAACGGCUUACCAAGGCACCGAUGCGUAGCCGAGCUGAGAGGGGGAUCGGCCACACUGGAACUGAGAGACGGUCCAGACUCCGACGGGAGGCAGAAGUAGGGAAUCUUGCGAAAUGGGCGAAAGCUUGAAGAAGCAAUGCCGCGUGGGUGAAGAAGGUCUGCGGAUCGGAAAACGCUGUUAUUGGGGAAGAACAAAUGUGUAAGUAACUAUGCACGGCGUGACGGUACUUAAUCAGGAAGCCACGGCUAACUACGUG
rnacentral:rRNA from 1 species